GGGGCACAUGGAGAGUGCUAUGGGGGGUGAUGCUGUGGGGCACAGUGCUGUGGGACACAUGGACAGCGCUAUGGGGUGUGAUGCUGUGGGGCACAGCGCUGUGGGGCACAAGGAUGGUGCUGUGGGGCACACGGUGCUAUGGGGUGUGGGGUGCAGUGCUGUGGGGCACAUGGAGAGCGCUAUGGGGGCGCUAUGGGGCACAUGGACAGCGCUGUGGGGUGUGAUGCUGUGGGGCACAGCGCUGUGGGGCACAGGGAUGGCGCUGUGGGGCACAGUGGCAGCGCUAUGGGGCACAGUGGCAGCACUAUGGGGCGCAGUGACAGCGCUAUGGGGCACAGGGGUGGCUCUGUGGGGCAGAAGGAUGGCACUGUGGGGCCCAGGGAUGGCUCUAUGGGGCACAGCGGUGGUUCUAUGGGGCACAGUGACAGCGCUAUGGGGCACAGGGAUGGCUCUAUGGGGCACAGGGAUGGCUCUGUGGGGCACAGCAGUGGUUCUGUGGGGCACAGUGGCAGCGCUAUGGGGCACAGGGAUGGCGCUAUGGGCCACAGUGGCUGCGCUAUGGGGCACAGGGAUGGCGCUGUGGGACAGAAUGGUGGCACUAUGGGGCACAGUGGCAGCGCUAUGGGGCACAGCGGUGGUUCUAUGGGGCACAGGGAAGCCGCUAUGGGGCACAGUGGCGGCGCUAUGGGGCGCAGAGACAGCGCUAUGGGGCACAGGGAUGGCUCUAUGGGGCACAGCGGUGGUGCUAUGGGGCACAGUGGCAGCGCUAUGGGGCACAGUGACGGCGCUAUGGGGCACAGGGAUGGCUCUGUGGGGCACAGCGGUGGUGCUAUGGGGCACAGUGGCAGCGCUAUGGGGCACAGUGGCAGCACUAUGGGGCGCAGUGACAGCGCUAUGGGGCACAGGGGUGGCUCUGUGGGGCAGAAGGAUGGCACUGUGGGGCCCAGGGAUGGCUCUAUGGGGCACAGCGGUGGUUCUAUGGGGCACAGUGACAGCGCUAUGGGGCACAGGGAUGGCUCUAUGGGGCACAGGGAUGGCUCUGUGGGGCACAGCAGUGGUUCUGUGGGGCACAGUGGCAGCGCUAUGGGGCACAGGGAUGGCGCUAUGGGCCACAGUGGCUGCGCUAUGGGGCACAGGGAUGGCGCUGUGGGACAGAAUGGUGGCACUAUGGGGCACAGUGGCAGCGCUAUGGGGCACAGCGGUGGUUCUAUGGGGCACAGGGAAGCCGCUAUGGGGCACAGUGGCGGCGCUAUGGGGCGCAGAGACAGCGCUAUGGGGCACAGGGAUGGCUCUAUGGGGCACAGCGGUGGUGCUAUGGGGCACAGUGGCAGCGCUAUGGGGCACAGUGACGGCGCUAUGGGGCACAGGGAUGGCUCUGUGGGGCACAGCGGUGGUGCUAUGGGGCACAGUGGCAGCGCUAUGGGGCACAGUGGCAGCACUAUGGGGCGCAGUGACAGCACUAUGGGGCACAGGGAUGGCUCUAUGGGGCACAGCGGUGGUGCUAUGGGGCGCAGUGGCAGCGCUAUGGGGCACAGCGGUGGUUCUAUGGGGCACAGGGAUGGCGCUAUGGGGCACAGUGACGGCGCUAUGGGGCACAGGGAUGGCUCUAUGGGGCACAGUGGCAGCGCUAUGGGGCACAGUGGCAGCACUAUGGGGCGCAGUGACAGCACUAUGGGGCACAGCGGUGGUGCUAUGGGGCACAGCGGUGGUGCUAUGGGGCGCAGAGACAGCGCUAUGGGGCACAGGGAUGGCUCUAUGGGGCACAGCGGUGGUGCUAUGGGGCACAGUGGCAGCGCUAUGGGGCGCAGUGGCGGCGCUAUGGGGCACAGUGACGGCGCUAUGGGGCACAGGGAUGGCUCUAUGGGGCACAGUGGCAGCGCUAUGGGGCACAGUGGCAGCACUAUGGGGCGCAGUGACAGCACUAUGGGGCACAGCGGUGGUGCUAUGGGGCACAGCGGUGGUGCUAUGGGGCGCAGUGGCAGCGCUAUGGGGCACAGCGGUGGCUCUAUGGGGCACAGCGGUGGCUCUAUGGGGCACAGUGGCAGCGCUAUGGGGCACAGUGACAGCGCUAUAGGGCACAGGGGUCUCGCUAUGGGGCCCAGGGAUGGCUCUAUGGGGCACAGGGACAGCGCUAUGGGGCACAGGGAUGGCUCUAUGGGGCACAGCGGCAGCGCUAUGGGGCACAGGGAUGGCUCUAUGGGGCACAGUGGCAGCGCUAUGGGGCACAGGGAUGGCUCUAUGGGGCACAGUGGCGGCGCUAUGGGGCGCAGUGGCAGUGCUAUGGGGCACAGGGAUGGCUCUAUGAGGCGCAGUGAAAGUGCUAUGGGGCGCAGUGACAGUGCUAUGGGGCACAGGGGUGGCUCUGUAGGGCAGAAUGGUGGCACUAUGGGGCCCAGUGGUGGCGCUAUGGGGCACAGGGAUGGCUCUAUGGGGCACAGUGGCAGCGCUAUGGGGAGCAGUGGCAGUGCUAUGGGGCACAGGGAUGGCUCUAUGGGGCACAGCGGUGGCUCUAUGGGGCACAGGGAUGGCUCUAUGGGGCACAGCGGUGGUGCUAUGGGGCACAGUGGCAGCGCUAUGGGGCACAGUGGCAGCGCUAUGGGGCACAGUGGCGGCGCUAUGGGGCACAGUGGCAGCGCUAUGGGGCACAGUGACGGCGCUAUGGGGCACAGGGAUGGCUCUAUGGGGCACAGCGGUGGUGCUAUGGGGCACAGUGGCAGCGCUAUGGGGCACAGUGGCAGCACUAUGGGGCGCAGUGACAGCACUAUGGGGCACAGUGAUGGCUCUAUGGGGCACAGCGGUGGUGCUAUGGGGCGCAGUGGCAGCGCUAUGGGGCACAGCGGUGGCUCUAUGGGGCACAGUGGCAGCGCUAUGGGGCACAGUGACAGCGCUAUGGGGCACAGGGGUCUCGCUAUGGGGCCCAGGGAUGGCUCUAUGGGGCACAGGGACAGCGCUAUGGGGCACAGGGAUGGCUCUAUGGGGCACAGCGGCAGCGCUAUGGGGCACAGGGAUGGCUCUAUGGGGCACAGUGGCGGCGCUAUGGGGCGCAGUGGCAGUGCUAUGGGGCACAGGGAUGGCUCUAUGGGGCACAGCGGUGGUGCUAUGGGGCACAGUGGCAGCGCUAUGGGGCGCAGUGCCAGCGCUAUGGGGCACAGUGGCAGCGCUAUGGGGCACAGUGCCGGCGCUAUGGGGCACAGGGAUGGCGCUAUGGGGCACAGGGAUGGCUCUAUGGGGCGCAGUGGCGGCGCUAUGGGGCGCAGUGACAGCGCUAUGGGGCACAGUGGCAGCGCUAUGGGGCUCAGUGACAGCGCUAUGGGGCACAGUGACAGCGCUAUGGGGCACAGCGACGUCCGGAGGUGACACAUUGGUGUCCCCCGGCGGUGUCACGUGACCUCAUCACACAUUGAUGUCCCCGGCGGAGUCACGUGACGCUGUCACAGCGCCCCCCC
rnacentral:lncRNA from 1 species